AUGUGAUCCCAUGCUAUUUUUCCACAGAAUCCUGCUGUAUUCAGUACACAGGAUGGACCAAAGUUCUGUGACUGAAUCAGGGUUGAGCAGUGAAGGAGACUAUUAUCUACCAUUUCUUCAAUUUGUCAAGAUCAUCUUGAAUUCUAAUCCUGUCCUCCAAAGAGCUUGCAACCCUCCCAGCGUGGUAUUGUCCAUCAACUUUUGGUUACUUCACUCCCAGAAACCACGGAAGAGAUUUUCAAAAUAACAGUCAUGAUAAAGAGAAGAUAAAUGAUGUGGGAGAAA